rnacentral:rRNA from 1 species
AGAGUUUGAUCCUGGCUCAGGAUGAACGCUAGCGAUAGGCCUAACACAUGCAAGUCGAGGGGCGGCGGGGUAGCAAUACCGCCGGCGACCGGCGCACGGGUGAGUAACACGUAUGCAACCUACCCAUAACUGUGGGAUAGCCCGUCGAAAGACGGAUUAAUACCGCAUAACACAGGGGCUCCACAUGGAGAUAUUUGUUAAAGAUUUAUUGGUUAUGGAUGGGCAUGCGCAGGAUUAGGUAGUUGGUGAAGGUAACGGCUCACCAAGCCCUCGAUCCUUAGGGGAACUGAGAGGUUAAUCCCCCACACUGGUACUGAGACACGGACCAGACUCCUACGGGAGGCAGCAGUGAGGAAUAUUGGUCAAUGGUCGAGAGACUGAACCAGCCAAAUCGCGUGAAGGAAGACGGUAUUAUGUAUUGUAAACUUCUUUUAUUGGGGAAUAAAGUGCAGGUCGUGACCUGUUUUGUAUGUACCUGAUGAAUAAGCAUCGGCUAACUCCGUGCCAGCAGCCGCGGUAAUACGGAGGAUGCGAGCGUUAUCCGGAUUUAUUGGGUUUAAAGGGUGUGUAGGUUGUUUCUUAAGUCAGCGGUGAAAUCUCGGAGCUUAACUCCGAAACUGCCGUUGAAACUGGGCGACUUGAGAGUGAACGAGGUAGGCGGAAUUUAUAGUGUAGCGGUGAAAUGCUUAGAUAUUAUAAAGAACUCCGAUAGCGCAGGCAGCUUACCAGGCCACAUCUGACACUGAGGCACGAAAGCGUGGGUAUCAAACAGGAUUAGAUACCCUGGUAGUCCACGCAGUAAACGAUGAUUACUCGCUGUUUGCGAUAUACGGCAAGCGGCUUAGCGAAAGCGUUAAGUAAUCCACCUGGGGAGUACGCCGGCAACGGUGAAACUCAAAGGAAUUGACGGGGGCCCGCACAAGCGGAGGAACAUGUGGUUUAAUUCGAUGAUACGCGAGGAACCUUACCCGGGCUCGAACGGCAGUGGAAUAUCUGUGAAAGCAGGUAGCCAGCAAUGGUCGCU